rnacentral:rRNA from 1 species
GACGAACGCUGGCGGCGUGCUUAACACAUGCAAGUCGAACGGUGAAGCGCCUUCCUUUUUGGUGGGUGUGGAUGAGUGGCGAACGGGUGAGUAACACGUGAGUAACCUGCCCCCUUCUUCUGGAUAACCGCAUGAAAGUGUGGCUAAUACGGGAUAUUCUGGGUCUGUCGCAUGAUGGGUCUGGGAAAGAUAUUGCUUCGGUGGGGGAUGGGCUCGCGGCCUAUCAGCUUGUUGGUGGGGUGAUGGCCUACCAAGGCGGUGACGGGUAGCCGGCCUGAGAGGGUGGACGGUCACACUGGGACUGAGACACGGCCCAGACUCCUACGGGAGGCAGCAGUGGGGAAUAUUGCACAAUGGGCGCAAGCCUGAUGCAGCGACGCCGCGUGAGGGAUGGAGGCCUUCGGGUUGUGAACCUCUUUCGCCAGUGAAGCAGGCCUGCCUCGUUUGUGGGUGGGUUGACGGUAGCUGGAUAAGAAGCGCCGGCUAACUACGUG